rnacentral:rRNA from 1 species
AAUAUUGCGCAAUGGGGGAAACCCUGACGCAGCGACGCCGCGUGAGUGAAGAAGGCCUUCGGGUUGUAAAACUCUGUCCUCAGGGCAGAAGUAAGUGACGGUACCUGAGGAGGAAGCCCCGGCUAACUACGUGCCACCAGCCGCGGUAACACGUAGGGGGCGAGCGUUGUCCGGAAUUACUGGGCGUAAAGGGUGCGUAGGCGGCCUUUUAAGUCAGAUGUGAAAGACCACAGCUUAACUGUGGGGUUGCAUUUGAAACUGGGAGGCUUGAGUAUCGGAGAGGGUAGUGGAAUUCCAAGUGUAGCGGUGAUAUGCGUAGAUAUAGGAAGGAACACCAGUGGCGAAGGCGACCACCUGGGCUAAUACUGACACUGAGGUGCGAAAGCGUGGGGAGCAAAC